rnacentral:tRNA from 1 species
UUUAAUAUGGCAGAAUUAAGUGCAUUGGAUUUAAACCCCAAAUAUAAAGAUAUAUCCUCUUUUAUUAAAA